GAUGAAGAACGUAGUGAAAUGCGAUAAGUAAUGUGAAUUGCAGAAUUCAGUGAAUCAUCGAAUCUUUGAACGCACAUUGCGCCCGCCAGAAUACUGGCGGGCAUGCCUGUUCGAGCGUCAUUUCAACCAUCAAGCCCCCGGGCUUGUGUUGGGGACCUGCGGCUGCCGCAGGCCCUGAAAACCAGUGGCGGGCUCGCUAGUCACUCCGAGCGUAGUAGUUACAUCUCGCUCAGGGCGUGCUGCGGGUUCCGGCCGUUAAAAGCCUUUUACCCCAAGGUUGACCUCGGAUCAGGUAGGAAGACCCGCUGAACUUAAGCAUAUCAAUAAGCGGAGGA
rnacentral:misc_RNA from 1 species